rnacentral:rRNA from 1 species
UACGUAGGGUGCAAGCGUUGUCCGGAAUUAUUGGGCGUAAAGAGCUCGUAGGCGGUCUGUCGCGUCUGCUGUGAAAACUCAGGGCUUAACCCUGAGCUUGCAGUGGGUACGGGCAGACUAGAGUGCGGUAGGGGAGUGUGGAAUUCCUGGUGGAGCGGUGAAAUGCGCAGAUAUCAGGAGGAACACCCGUAGCGAAGGCGGCACUCUGGGCCGAUACUGACACUGAGGAGCGAAAGCGUGGGGAGCGAACAGG